UCCCGAGGAGCCCAUUUUCU
rnacentral:piRNA from 1 species